rnacentral:lncRNA from 1 species
GGGCACUCCUGGCACCAUCCUAGAGGAGCCUGCGCCCUGGAGAGGUGGCUUCCUGACCCCCGAGCCCAGGCGACCACCGGAGGCGGGCACCGCGCCUCUGCUCCUGCCUCAGGCUCGCGCCAACCUUGUUCUCUUUGCGUGCCCCCCAACUAAAAAAGAAAAAAAUUUUGAUUGUCUGCCCUUUUUUAUACAAACAUGGAAACUAGACUAACAGCACUACUACUAACAUUUGCAAAUAAGUUGAAUACUAAAAGGCUCCAAAUUUAAAUUAUAGAUGAGGAAAUGCAUGAAAGUCUGAUGGAGUGUUAGAAUUCAAUGGUAAAGUACUUGCAUCGCUGAAUACAUGAUAGCCCCAAGAACUCCGUCCGAAUGUUGCCUUCCGAAGCUUGAAACUUAAAGCUGAUUUGUAAGGCAUGUUGCUUGACCCUCUUGGUCGUUUUCGUUCCUCUUGUUUAUGGGUUCGAGCUCUUUAUGCCUUCCCCUUAUCCCAAGGACCAGCUGAUGAAUUCGUAUGAAUGUUUCUUAGGAGCUCGUUCUAAACAUUCAAGUUACUUUAAGAACAUUAAUGUCUAGAGGUAAAACUAAGACAUGAACGCAAUGUUUUCUUUUAAAAGCAUUGUGUGUCCUAGUUCCCUUGGAAGUCAACAUUUCAUUGUUUCACUAGGUGACUCGCUGCUAAUAACCUUUGGUUGUGUACUGUAUUAAUUUUAGGUCAUUUAUGCAAACAUAAUAGCUAUCCUUUUUCAUCGUAAGUGAUUUAUAACUGGAAGUUUGUAAACUAAUAAUGUUUUGCUUCCAAAAUGCAAACUUGCAUCUUAAAAUGAGUUGUAAAGUCUGCUCAAUAAAUUUUAGUUGCCUUAUCUGUACUCAGGACAAGAGUAUACUACUAUAGUCAAGAGUCUAAAAACAAUUUAAGUAAUUUUAUACAACCUUUUAAAGUACACCGUAGGCAAGCAGAUUCUGAUUUCCAACUUUUAUAGUUUUCCUUGUUCAUCCGUGUCAUAUUUCCGAUUAUUGACACAAAAGCACACUCCAAGUUACUUCUUGUUUGUGCCUUACUAUUUUUAUUCAGGGUUUUCAAGUCACUGACAUAGAAGCACAUAGAAGCAUAAAUUCACACACUCUGACCUAUAUGUUUCUAGUGGUGAGAUUUUUUUUUAAACAAAUGCCAUAUCUAGUGAGUCUAUUCUUUGUUAAUGUUCAUGGUUUUGACGCCUUAGUUCACCUCUAACCAUCUCUGCUCUGUCAGCAUUCUGUCUGUCCUUGCUUGAUGCUUUCUCAUUCUGCAUGCCGCUGGCUAGAUGUCUCUAGGAUUUACGAAACAGGAAGCCAGAGGUAACCUUUCUCACUUCUUGAAUCUGAUAACCCUCUGGGUAGAUUACAGCAGUUUGUCUGAAAAAUAAUAAUGGCACUAUUGUCUUGAACUACUUCAAAGAGAUCAUUUGGAGCCGGUGUAGAACCCCAAAAAAGGUAAAAGUUUGGCUGCUUCUCAUGUGUUUAAACCUGAUUCUGUCUUGGGGAUAAGGUCUUUCUCCUGGUGGAUUUUUACUUCUGUUUAUUUACUUAUUAAAUG